rnacentral:rRNA from 1 species
AGGGGGCAAGCGUUAUCCGGAUUUACUGGGUGUAAAGGGAGCGUAGACGGUAUGGCAAGUCUGAAGUGAAAGCCCCGGGCUCAACCCGGGAACUGCUUUGGAAACUGUUAAACUGGAGUGCUGGAGAGGCAGGCGGAAUUCCUAGUGUAGCGGUGAAAUGCGUAGAUAUUAGGAGGAACACCAGUGGCGAAGGCGGCCUGCUGGACAGUAACUGACGUUGAGGCUCGAAAGCGUGGGGAGCAA